UACGUAGGGUGCGAGCGUUGUCCGGAAUUAUUGGGCGUAAAGAGCUCGUAGGCGGUGUGUCACGGUCGCCGUGAAAACCUGCAGCUUAACUGUGGCGUGCGGUCGAUACGGGCAUCACUGGAGUUCGGCAGGGGAGAAUGGAAUUCCCGGUGUAGCGGUGAAAUGCGCAGAUAUCGGGAGGAACACCGGUGGCGAAGGCGGCCUACUGGGCUGCACCUGACGCUGAGCCGCGAAAGCCAGGGGAGCGAACGGG
rnacentral:rRNA from 1 species